UACGGAGGGUGCGAGCGUUAAUCGGAAUUACUGGGCGUAAAGCGCACGCAGGCGGUUUGUUAAGCUAGAUGUGAAAGCCCCGGGCUCAACCUGGGAUGGUCAUUUAGAACUGGCAGACUAGAGUCUUGGAGAGGGGAGUGGAAUUCCAGGUGUAGCGGUGAAAUGCGUAGAUAUCUGGGGGAACAUCAGUGGCGAAGGCGACUCCCUGGCCGAAGACUGACGCUCAUGUGCGAAAGUGUGGGUAGCGAACAGG
rnacentral:rRNA from 1 species